rnacentral:rRNA from 1 species
UACAGAGGUGGCAAGCGUUGUUCGGAAUUACUGGGCGUAAAGGGCGCGUAGGCGGCCUUCUAAGUCAGACGUGAAAUCCCCAGGCUUAACUUGGGAACUGCGUCUGAUACUGGGAGGCUUGAGUGCGGGAGAGGGAUGUGGAAUUCCAGGUGUAGCGGUGAAAUGCGUAGAUAUCAGGAGGAACACCUGCGGUGUAGACGGCUUUCUGGACCAUAACUGACGCUGAGAUACGAAAGCGUGGGUAGCAAACAGG